GAUUAAGUUAUUAAGGGCGCACGGUGGAUGCCUUGGCACUAGAAGCCGAUGAAGGACGUUACUAACGACGAUAUGCUUUGGGGAGCUGUAAGUAAGCUUUGAUCCAGAGAUUUCCGAAUGGGGAAACCCAGCAUGAGUUAUGUCAUGUUAUCGAUAUGUGAAUACAUAGCAUAUCAGAAGGCACACCCGGAGAACUGAAACAUCUUAGUACCCGGAGGAAGAGAAAGAAAAUUCGAUUCCCUUAGUAGCGGCGAGCGAAAUGGGAAGAGCCCAAACCAACAAGCUUGCUUGUUGGGGUUGUAGGACACUCUAUACGGAGUUACAAAGGACGACAUUAGACGAAUCAUCUGGAAAGAUGAAUCAAAGAAGGUAAUAAUCCUGUAGUCGAAAAUGUUGUCUCUCUUGAGUGGAUCCUGAGUACGACGGAGCACGUGAAAUUCCGUCGGAAUCUGGGAGGACCAUCUCCUAAGGCUAAAUACUCUCUAGUGACCGAUAGUGAACCAGUACCGUGAGGGAAAGGUGAAAAGCACCCCGGAAGGGGAGUGAAAUAGAACCUGAAACCGUGUGCUUACAAGUAGUCAGAGCCCGUUAAUGGGUGAUGGCGUGCCUUUUGUAGAAUGAACCGGCGAGUUACGAUUUGAUGCAAGGUUAAGCAGUAAAUGUGGAGCCGUAGCGAAAGCGAGUCUGAAUAGGGCGUUUAGUAUUUGGUCGUAGACCCGAAACCAGGUGAUCUACCCUUGGUCAGGUUGAAGUUCAGGUAACACUGAAUGGAGGACCGAACCGACUUACGUUGAAAAGUGAGCGGAUGAACUGAGGGUAGCGGAGAAAUUCCAAUCGAACCUGGAGAUAGCUGGUUCUCUCCGAAAUAGCUUUAGGGCUAGCCUCAAGUGAUGAUUAUUGGAGGUAGAGCACUGUUUGGACGAGGGGCCCCUCUCGGGUUACCGAAUUCAGACAAACUCCGAAUGCCAAUUAAUUUAACUUGGGAGUCAGAACAUGGGUGAUAAGGUCCGUGUUCGAAAGGGAAACAGCCCAGACCACCAGCUAAGGUCCCAAAAUAUAUGUUAAGUGGAAAAGGAUGUGGCGUUGCCCAGACAACUAGGAUGUUGGCUUAGAAGCAGCCAUCAUUUAAAGAGUGCGUAAUAGCUCACUAGUCGAGUGACACUGCGCCGAAAAUGUACCGGGGCUAAACAUAUUACCGAAGCUGUGGAUUGUCCUUUGGACAAUGGUAGGAGAGCGUUCUAAGGGCGUUGAAGCAUGAUCGUAAGGACAUGUGGAGCGCUUAGAAGUGAGAAUGCCGGUGUGAGUAGCGAAAGACGGGUGAGAAUCCCGUCCACCGAUUGACUAAGGUUUCCAGAGGAAGGCUCGUCCGCUCUGGGUUAGUCGGGUCCUAAGCUGAGGCCGACAGGCGUAGGCGAUGGAUAACAGGUUGAUAUUCCUGUACCACCUAUAAUCGUUUUAAUCGAUGGGGGGACGCAGUAGGAUAGGCGAAGCGUGCGAUUGGAUUGCACGUCUAAGCAGUAAGGCUGAGUAUUAGGCAAAUCCGGUACUCAUUAAGGCUGAGCUGUGAUGGGGAGAAGACAUUGUGUCUUCGAGUCGUUGAUUUCACACUGCCGAGAAAAGCCUCUAGAUAGAAAAUAGGUGCCCGUACCGCAAACCGACACAGGUAGUCAAGAUGAGAAUUCUAAGGUGAGCGAGCGAACUCUCGUUAAGGAACUCGGCAAAAUGACCCCGUAACUUCGGGAGAAGGGGUGCUCUUUAGGGUUAACGCCCAGAAGAGCCGCAGUGAAUAGGCCCAAGCGACUGUUUAUCAAAAACACAGGUCUCUGCUAAACCGUAAGGUGAUGUAUAGGGGCUGACGCCUGCCCGGUGCUGGAAGGUUAAGAGGAGUGGUUAGCUUCUGCGAAGCUACGAAUCGAAGCCCCAGUAAACGGCGGCCGUAACUAUAACGGUCCUAAGGUAGCGAAAUUCCUUGUCGGGUAAGUUCCGACCCGCACGAAAGGCGUAACGAUUUGGGCACUGUCUCAACGAGAGACUCGGUGAAAUCAUAGUACCUGUGAAGAUGCAGGUUACCCGCGACAGGACGGAAAGACCCCGUGGAGCUUUACUGUAGCCUGAUAUUGAAAUUCGGCACAGCUUGUACAGGAUAGGUAGGAGCCUUUGAAACGUGAGCGCUAGCUUACGUGGAGGCGCUGGUGGGAUACUACCCUAGCUGUGUUGGCUUUCUAACCCGCACCACUUAUCGUGGUGGGAGACAGUGUCAGGCGGGCAGUUUGACUGGGGCGGUCGCCUCCUAAAAGGUAACGGAGGCGCUCAAAGGUUCCCUCAGAAUGGUUGGAAAUCAUUCAUAGAGUGUAAAGGCAUAAGGGAGCUUGACUGCGAGACCUACAAGUCGAGCAGGGUCGAAAGACGGACUUAGUGAUCCGGUGGUUCCGCAUGGAAGGGCCAUCGCUCAACGGAUAAAAGCUACCCCGGGGAUAACAGGCUUAUCUCCCCCAAGAGUUCACAUCGACGGGGAGGUUUGGCACCUCGAUGUCGGCUCAUCGCAUCCUGGGGCUGUAGUCGGUCCCAAGGGUUGGGCUGUUCGCCCAUUAAAGCGGUACGCGAGCUGGGUUCAGAACGUCGUGAGACAGUUCGGUCCCUAUCCGUCGUGGGCGUAGGAAAUUUGAGAGGAGCUGUCCUUAGUACGAGAGGACCGGGAUGGACAUACCUCUGGUGUACCAGUUGUCGU
rnacentral:rRNA from 1 species